CCUACGGGAGGCAGCAGUGAGGAAUAUUGGUCAAUGGACGAGAGCCUGAACCAGCCAAGUAGCGUGAAGGAUGACUGCCCUACGGGUUGUAAACUUCUUUUAUAAAGGAAUAAAGUGUGGCACGUGUGCCUUUUUGUAUGUACUUUAUGUAUAAGGACCGGCUAAUUCCGUGCCAGCAGCCGCGGUAAUACGGAGGGUCCGGGCGUUAUCCGGAUUUAUUGGGUUUAAAGGGAGCGUAGGCCGGUCUUUAAGCGUGCCGUGAAAUUUUGUGGCUCAACCAUGAGAGUGCGGCUCAAACUGGAGACCUUGAGUGCGCGAGAGGCAGGCGGAAUUCGUGGUGUAGCGGUGAAAUGCUUAGAUAUCACGAAGAACCCCGAUUGCGAAGGCAGCCUGCUGGAGUGUUACUGACGCUGAGGCUCGAAAGCGCGGGUAUCGAACAGGAUUAGAUACCCCAGUAGUC
rnacentral:rRNA from 1 species